CUACGGGUCGCAGCAGCUAAGAAUCUUCCGCAAUGGGCGAAAGCCUGACGGAGCGACGCCGCGUGGGUGAAGAAGGCCGAGAGGUUGUAAAGCCCUUUUCUGUCUGAGGAAUAAGCCUGGGAGGGAAUGCCCGGGUGAUGACGGUAAGACAGGAAUAAGCCCCGGCUAAUUACGUGCCAGCAGCCGCGGUAACACGUAUGGGGCGAGCGUUGUUCGGAAUCAUUGGGCGUAAAGGGCGCGUAGGCGGAGAUGCAAGUCUGGUGUGAAAUACCGCAGCUUAACUGCGGGACCGCGCUGGAAACUGCAUAUCUUGAGUUCCGGAGGGGGAGUUGGAAUUCCUGGUGUAGGGGUGAAAUCUGUUGAUAUCAGGAAGAACACCGGUGGCGAAGGCGAACUCCUGGACGGAAACUGACGCUGAGGCGCGAAAGCGUGGGGAGCGAACAGGAUUAGAUACCCGUGUAGUC
rnacentral:rRNA from 1 species